rnacentral:hammerhead_ribozyme from 1 species
GCACUACUGACGAGUCCCAAACAGGAUAGGAAACAGCUGUCCAGUGC